GGCGCCGAACGCACGAAAACUCAAUUUUCCCCCCCUUCCCUUCGAUUUUACCCCGUACAGUGCUCACAAAUCCCGCGAGUCCCUUUCUUCCCCAAAUUCGUCUUUUCCAUUUUCUCUCUACCUGCAAAAUUAAUCAAAACCCACCCAUUUUUGUUGCUACGCGACUCUCCUCUUCCACCAAAAACCACCAUUGACAGCGAAUCUGCCUCCACCGAUUUGGCGACCGCGGCUGUCCUGUUCUACAUUUCUUUUUAGCACGGGUUUCGUUGAUCGCGUCCUCCUCGUCCUCUCCUCUACUCGAUUGCCGCCGAUUAACAUUGAUGAUGCAGUUUGAUUGAAGGCCUUGUGGUACAUUUCUGUUAAGGAAAAGAGAAUGGCUUCAGCAGGGCCACAACAAUCACUCGAGACGUGAUUCAUCUGUGACUAGAGAAGACGAUCAACUUAUCAUAACUCCUUUGGGUGCUGCUUUCACUUGGAUCAUGCUGCAUCCCUACCAUAUUUUCUGGAAAGACCACCUUCAAAGGUCGAGUUUUCAUGACUUAUCCAACAAAGGCAAUCUACAAGCUGCUUUUGACUGAUUAUGUUAAAGUUAGCAAAGUUUCAGUUGAAGAUAUGUUGUACAAUGAACAGGACAUCAAUCGCUCCAUGGAUAAAAUUGAGAGGAAAAAAGAAGACAAGAAGUAAGAGAAGUGUCUGCUUGGCAUUAGAGGCCAAUCUCUCAUGUUUAGUCCUCUUUCACAUAACCAAACAAUGUUUGAUAGCCAUCGAAGACUAUUUUACUUUUAAACUACUAAGAGCCUUAAUAGUUGUUCAGUGUAGGUUGUGUCACAAUAACAUGUAGUUUUCAAUUUCUUGAGACGUAGUUUUCAAUUUCCUGUUCCAAUAAUAUAGAUCUGAUCUUUUUAACUAUCUUUAAAAGGCAUGUAAACUACAUAAGUUUGAGAUGUUUCGUCCUUUAGUACUUCGGUAUGAUGCAAGCUUGGAUGUUUGGAGUU